AUACGUAGGGGGCGAGCGUUGUCCGGAAUGAUUGGGCGUAAAGGGCGCGUAGGCGGCCCGGUAAGUCUGGAGUGAAAGUCCUGUUUUUAAGAUGGGAAUUGCUUUGGAUACUGUCGGGCUUGAGUGCAGGAGAGGUAAGUGGAAUUCCCAGUGUAGCGGGGAAAUGCGUAGAGAUUGGGAGGAACACCAGUGGCGAAGGCGACUUACUGGACUGUAACUGACGCUGAGGCGCGAAAGUGUGGGGAGCAAACAGGAUUAGAUACCCUGGUAGUCCACACUGUAAACGAUGAAUGCUAGGUGUAGGGGGUAUCGACCCCUUCUGUGCCGCAGUCAACACAAUAAGCAUUCCGCCUGGGGAGUACGGCCGCAAGGUUGAAACUCAAAUGAAUUGACGGGG
rnacentral:rRNA from 1 species